ACAAUGCAAUAGUUCAAUAAAGUGAUUAAAAUGCGAAAAAAUGGAUUAUAAAAAAUAGAAACCAGUUAAAGGAUAUUUGGAAGUACCGUUCAUUCAUUUAUGGAAAUGUAUUGAAAUAGAAAUUGAAAUAUUUAAAUUAUGAUCAUUAGGCUAUCAAACAGAAGAUUAUGACUAUAAUUAAAGUUUGUUGUAAACCAGGAUAACAUGACCGCAAACCUUCAACUGACUCAAUCACCGUAAAUGUAUCAGAGCUUUAGGAACCUAUCGAUGUAUCGAAUAGCUUAUCCACCUUGUCAAAAUUCCCAACCUCAUAGAACUUGUCAGCCAAUUCGCUGUGCAAUGGAUUUGAACGAACAGAUUUGAUAUGACAAUAAGCAACGGAAAAACCGUCCAAAGCUUUGGUUAUCAAUACCGCUAGAUUACAAGAAACCAUUGCCUAUCCUUAUUAUUAACGUUAUAUUUCCCUUCGUAACUGAAGUAUCAAUUCCAUCUUCUGGCAAGCUGGCAUCACAGUCCUAUGACCGCUUAUACCAGAUUAAGGAAUAUUUUUCAAUUUAAUCGAGACUGAUAACUGAACCUGCUGUAAGAGAAGAUUGAAAACGAAAUCAUAACCAUGUUAAUUAAACCUCUUAAAGGUGCGAAAUUGGCUGAGUGCUUAAUUUAGAGCUUUAUCAAUGUGCUAUCCAUUCUGCAAUAACUAAAUCAUGAUUAUGUUACAAAUUUGAAAAAAUUUCCUGUGAAAAUCUAAACGAAUGAAAUGACUUCCAAAUUAGAUGAGGAAAUAGCCAUCACAUUGUAAAUUACGCAAAUUACUUGGAUGGGCUUGAAUUCAAUUAAACAACUCUA